GGACGUACACGUGAGAGAUAAAAGAGUAACGACUGCCAGAAAAGGCAAAAAUGCAAUUAUUUAUUCAUUUGCUACGUGUGUAACAAUUAGCAUAGGAAGUGACGUAAUAAAUGGAAAAGGCGAUAAGCUACGUGGGAAUGCGUGCAAGAGAGGGGAGUGGACGUGUACAGCCUGGUGACCUAUUGAGGGUACGGUAACUAACAGACAAAGCUGACAUAGCGACACGUGUAAAUCUCCUGAUGUUAUUUUUAAUUCUUAGAGUUGGGGGAAAUGUAGUUUAAUUAUUUGAGUUAAAAAAAAAAGAAGAGAAGUUGUAAUGUACUAAUGUUUUAGGGAGUGGUGGUUCACCUAACUAUUUUGGGUGAACGAGAGAGACACAAUUCAAUUAUUUGGAUGAAUUUAGAUUUUAGUCAUUCCAAUGUAAUACGGU
rnacentral:lncRNA from 1 species